GGGCCCGCACAAGUAGUGGAGCAUGUGGUUUAAUUCGAAGAUACGCGCAGAACCUUACCAACACUUGACAUGUUCGUCGCGACUUUAAGAGAUUAAAGUUUUCGGUUCGGCCGGACGAAACACAGGUGCUGCAUGGCUGUCGUCAGCUCGUGUCGUGAGAUGUUGGGUUAAGUCCCGCAACGAGCGCAACCCUCACUUUUAGUUGCCAUCAUUAAGUUGGGCACUCUGAAAGAACUGCCAGUGAUAAGCUGGAGGAAGGUGGGGAUGACGUCAAGUCCUCAUGGCCCUUACGUGUUGGGCUACACACGUGCUACAAUGGUAUCUACAACAGGAAGCAAGACUGCGAAGUUAAGCAAAUCCUCAAAAGAUACCUCAGUUCGGAUUGCACUCUGCAACUCGAGUGCAUGAAGCUGGAAUUACUAGUAAUCG
rnacentral:rRNA from 1 species